AUGUGUCAGGAAGAGCACUUCUUUGAGGCCCUGGACCAUGAGGCAUCCAAGGAUGACCAGAUGAUCUUCACCUGUAAGCCCUGUAAGUUUAUAAUCAAGAUAUUGAGAAAAGUCCUGGGACAAGAUAUCUCACAGGAAGCGAUCAAGCAGGCUGCAUCCCUGGUGUGUCACCAGACGCGUGUGUUCACCGAGUUAUGCAACACAUUAUUUAAUAAAUAUCUUAAUGACAUCACCCGGGGUAUCAUGAAUGACAAAUCCCCUCAGGAAAUCUGUGUGAAAAUCAGGAUGUGCAGACCCUGAGAUAGGUGACCAAGGAGCUGGGACCUUACUCCACCCCGGGGAGAAGCACAGAGUCUCCAGCAGGCACCGCCAGCUCCUGCCUUCCUAAAUCCAGGACGGACCCUCCAGUUUCUCUCAGCUAGCUCCCUGCAGUGUCGUCCCCUGGCAGGAGAAUAAAAUGUCUUGCAAGCUUUUGGCCA
rnacentral:lncRNA from 1 species